rnacentral:rRNA from 1 species
ACCUGCCGUCUACUCUUGGACAGCCUUCUGAAGGGAAGAUUAAUACAAGAUGGCAUCAUGAGUCCGCAUGUUCACAUGAUUAAAGGUAUUCCGGUAGACGAUGGGGAUGCGUUCCAUUAGAUAGUAGGCGGGGUAACGGCCCACCUAGUCUUCGAUGGAUAGGGGUUCUGAGAGGAAGGUCCCCCACAUUGGAACUGAGACACGGUCCAAACUCCUACGGGAGGCAGCAGUGAGGAAUAUUGGUCAAUGGGCGAGAGCCUGAACCAGCCAAGUAGCGUGAAGGAUGACUGCCCUAUGGGUUGUAAACUUCUUUUAUAAAGGAAUAAAGUCGGGUAUGCAUACCCGUUUGCAUGUACUUUAUGAAUAAGGAUCGGCUAACUCCGUGCCAGCAGCCGCGGUAAUACGGAGGAUCCGAGCGUUAUCCGGAUUUAUUGGGUUUAAAGGGAGCGUAGAUGGAUGUUUAAGUCAGUUGUGAAAGUUUGCGGCUCAACCGUAAAAUUGCAGUUGAUACUGGAUAUCUUGAGUGCAGUUGAGGCAGGCGGAAUUCGUGGUGUAGCGGUGAAAUGCUUAGAUAUCACGAAGAACUCCGAUUGCGAAGGCAGCCUGCUAAGCUGCAACUGACAUUGAGGCUCGAAAGUGUGGGUAUCAAACAGGAUUAGAUACCCUGGUAGUCCACACGGUAAACGAUGAAUACUCGCUGUUUGCGAUAUACGGCAAGCGGCCAAGCGAAAGCGUUAAGUAUUCCACCUGGGGAGUAC